GGUUGCUGCCGAGCUCGCCCGGUGCAGCUUUUUCCUGUUGGUGUUGACUGGGAACAUGGGCGGGCUCAGCGCCUUCUACCCGAGCUUUGCGAAUUCUGCCCUAGCUGUUUCUUCCCGACUCCGCCUGUCGUGUCUAUCUUCACCAUGACCGAAAUAGAAAAACCCAUUCUAAAAUUGAAUCUCAAGGAACCCGGAAAAGCUGAAACACUCUUGAAAAAGAACAAAGUUGCAAGGAUACUCUUCCUGAUUUCAAAACUUACUAGAAAGUUACAAUGAAGAAACUGAGGCCGAGACAGAGACUGAUCCAAGGUCACAGAGCCAUCAGGACUUGAAUCUUGUCCUUUCUGACUCCAAAACCAGAAAGCCAGACUUUCAUUUUGGUCCUGGUGGUGCACAGUAGUCUGGCCACACAGGGCCAAGGUCCUGGGAAGUCCAUGGCAGGCUGAUAGAGGAGCUGCUGCCCCUCCAGAUGGACUGGUCGGCCCCCAGCAGGACUGCUGCAGAUUCCACUCAAGGCCUGGACCUGGCAGCACUAGAGUUUCCAACUCCAGAAUGGGCAGAAGGUGGCACCCUAGAAGAGGAAAAAACUGACCUGGCCCAGAGCCUGGACUGUGGACAGACCAUCAGGAGCGGCAGCUCUGCAGCUUUUCAGCCAUGUAACCAGGUGCCACUUAAUUUCACUGAGCCUGCCCUGUGUCUUCUGGAAAGUGGGGAUAGCCCUCCCUACUUGGAAUUCCAGCUAUGGGAAAGUUCCUAGUGGCAGACACGGAGAAGGGGCUCGAGCAAUGCUAGUUUCUUUUCCCUUUAAUCCGAAGAAAAAAUCAGAGUGGUUAGUACUGGCUUGACCACUUACCAACUGUGCAAGCACAGUUUUCCUCUAUAUGAGAUGGGAACACUGUUAGUACAUAACUU